AGAAUCAACGCUGGCGCGGUGCCUAACGACGAUGCAAGUCGAACGAGAAAGGGACUUCGGUCCUGAGUAUAGUGGCGCACGGGUGAGUAACACGUGAAUAAUCUACCUCCGAGUGGGGAAUAACUGAGAGAAAUCUUAGCUAAUACCGCAUAACACUUACGAGUCAAAGCAGCAAUGCGCUUGGAGAGGAGUUCGCGGCCGAUUAGUUAGUUGGCGGGGUAAUGGCCCACCAAGACGAUGAUCGGUAUCCGGCCUGAGAGGGCGCACGGACACACUGGAACUGAAACACGGUCCAGACUCCUACGGGAGGCAGCAGUGGGGAAUUUUGCGCAAUGGGGGAAACCCUGACGCAGCAACGCCGCGUGGAGGAUGAAGUAUCUCGGUACGUAAACUCCUUUCGAUGGGGAAGAUAAUGACGGUACCAUAGAAGAAGCCCCGGCUAACUUCGUGCCAGCAGCCGC
rnacentral:rRNA from 1 species